rnacentral:sRNA from 1 species
AAAUUACCUAUAAUUACCAUUCUAAACAUUAUAAUUGGAAAUUUAAAAAUUUUGAACUCAAAUCGUGUCCAAGUUCCUUUAAAAUAGUCGCACAGAAAAAUGUGGCAAAUAUGCUUUUUAAAUCCUCAUUGUUUUUUAAAUCUGCCUCCUUGAAACAAAUUAUUUUUUUGUUAACAUUAGGAAUAAGAAAUCUCUUGAAAGCUGUCAAUUCCGAUUUUAAUUUCAAAGAUGCAUAUAAAAAUUUAACUUCAUGAAUACCUUUGAAAUUUAAGAACGGUAUGUUUAAUUUCCUAUUGAAGACCAUAGAUAUCAAAUUAUAAUCGAUAUUAUAUUACUAUUAUUAUUGCUGUUAUUAUAUCAAUGUUUUUAUUAUUAUUUUGUUUAUUGUUAUUAUAUCAUUAUCAUUAUUAUGAAAUAUCUGGAAAUUAUUAUUUCAGUUAUUAUUUCUGAUCUCAUACUGUCACUGUGAACAGAAAUAACAUGUUCAAGUUCUUAUACUUAACUCAUACUUUGAAAAUUUCUAACUCAUGUAUUAUUUGUGUCUAUAUGUAAACAUGUUUGUUUUUUAAAUAAAAGUUGAAAAAAAG